rnacentral:rRNA from 1 species
GCAUUGCGCUGCUAUACAUGCAGUCGAGCGGACAGAUGGGAGCUUGCUCCCUGAUGUUAGCGGCGGACGGGUGAGUAACACGUGGGUAACCUGCCUGUAAGACUGGGAUAACUCCGGGAAACCGGGGCUAAUACCGGAUGGUUGUUUGAACCGCAUGGUUCAGACAUAAAAGGUGGCUUCGGCUACCACUUACAGAUGGACCCGCGGCGCAUUAGCUAGUUGGUGAGGUAACGGCUCACCAAGGCGACGAUGCGUAGCCGACCUGAGAGGGUGAUCGGCCACACUGGGACUGAGACACGGCCCAGACUCCUACGGGAGGCAGCAGUAGGGAAUCUUCCGCAAUGGACGAAAGUCUGACGGAGCAACGCCGCGUGAGUGAUGAAGGUUUUCGGAUCGUAAAGCUCUGUUGUUAGGGAAGAACAAGUGCCGUUCAAAUAGGGCGGCACCUUGACGGUACCUAACCAGAAAGCCACGGCUAACUACGUGCCAGCAGCCGCGGUAAUACGUAGGUGGCAAGCGUUGUCCGGAAUUAUUGGGCGUAAAGGGCUCGCAGGCGGUUUCUUAAGUCUGAUGUGAAAGCCCCCGGCUCAACCGGGGAGGGUCAUUGGAAACUGGGGAACUUGAGUGCAGAAGAGGAGAGUGGAAUUCCACGUGUAGCGGUGAAAUGCGUAGAGAUGUGGAGGAACACCAGUGGCGAAUGCGACUCUCUGGUCUGUAACUGACGCUGAGGAGCGAAAGCGUGGGGAGCGAACAGGAUUAGAUACCCUGGUAGUCCACGCCGUACACGAUGAGUGCUAAGU